UACGUAGGGUGCAAGCGUUAAUCGGAAUUACUGGGCGUAAAGGGCGCGUAGGCGGCCUGUUAAGUCGAACGUGAAAUCCCCGGGCUCAACCCGGGAACUGCGUCCGAUACUGGCAGGCUUGAAUCCGGGAGAGGGAUGCGGAAUUCCAGGUGUAGCGGUGAAAUGCGUAGAUAUCUGGAGGAACACCGGUGGCGAAGGCGGAUCUCUGGGCCUUACCUGACGCUCAGGCGCGAAAGCUAGGGGAGCGAACAGG
rnacentral:rRNA from 1 species